AUCUAUGGCUAUCCCACCCUGGAAGUACGGGUCUUGUCUGAUCUCAGAAGCUAAGCAGGGUUGGCCCCGGUUAGGGCUUGAAGGAAAGGCCAGCUCGCAGUUCUGGGGGGCUGUAGGCU
rnacentral:rRNA from 1 species